rnacentral:rRNA from 1 species
GAUGAACGCUAGCUACAGGCUUAACACAUGCAAGUCGAGGGGUAACGAGAGGAAAGCUUGCUUUCCUUGUCGACGACCGGCGCACGGGUGAGUAACGCGUAUCCAACCUGCCCCCAACUAGGGAAUAACCUUGCGAAAGUAAGACUAAUACCCUAUAAUUUCCUCAGAUGACAUCUGACAAGGAAUAAAGAUUUAUCGGUUGUGGAUGGGGAUGCGUCUGAUUAGCUUGUUGGCGGGGUAACGGCCCACCAAGGCAACGAUCAGUAGGGGUUCUGAGAGGAAGGUCCCCCACAUUGGAACUGAGACACGGCCCAAACUCCUACGGGAGGCAGCAGUGAGGAAUAUUGGUCAAUGGGCGGAAGCCUGAACCAGCCAAGUAGCGUGCAGGAUGACGGCCCUAUGGGUUGUAAACUGCUUUUAUACAGGAAUAAAGUUAGCCACGUGUGGUUAUUUGUAGGUACUGUAUGAAUAAGGACCGGCUAAUUCCGUGCCAGCCGCCGCAGUAA